GUGGAUUAGAUACCCCGGUAGUCCACGCCGUAAACGAUGUCAACUAGCCGUUGGGUUCCUUGAGAACUUAGUGGCGCAGCUAACGCAUUAAGUUGACCGCCUGGGGAGUACGGCCGCAAGGUUAAAACUCAAAUGAAUUGACGGGGGCCCGCACAAGCGGUGGAGCAUGUGGUUUAAUUCGAAGCAACGCGAAGAACCUUACCUGGCCUUGACAUGCUGAGAACUUUCCAGAGAUGGAUUGGUGCCUUCGGGAACUCAGACACAGGUGCUGCACGGCCGUCGUCAGCU
rnacentral:rRNA from 1 species